rnacentral:rRNA from 1 species
UACGUAGGUGGCAAGCGUUGUCCGGAAUUAUUGGGCGUAAAGCGCGCGCAGGCGGUCCUUUAAGUCUGAUGUGAAAGCCCACGGCUCAACCGUGGAGGGUCAUUGGAAACUGGAAAACUUGAGUGCAGAAGAGGAAAGUGGAAUUCCAUGUGUAGCGGUGAAAUGCGCAGAGAUAUGGAGGAACACCAGUGGCGAAGGCGACUUUCUGGUCUGUAACUGACGCUGAUGUGCGAAAGCGUGGGGAUCAAACAGG